AGGUGUUAACGUAAUUCAACAGGAGAGAGGGAGGGACAGGUGAGAGCAACUCGCGAACCAAACCUUCCGCGACUUCCUCCAUAAAACGCAAAUCCACAAUUAACACUUUUUCCCUCGACGAAUGCACGAAUUUACGUUGCCACUUAGCGAGGCCGCUGUCGCACUUCAGCCAUCGCCUUUCGCCGGCUAAAUCGGGAAACACCCGUCCGCUUGAAUUUUUAAACCGUUAAUUUUCCCUUUUUCCUUUCUUUUUUUUUCGUUAUCUGACCGCGAACGGAAGUGGUGGAAAGCAACUUGCACGACGUAACGGUGAUCUAAUCGUAUCUACGAUCGGAGCGUGGACAUGGAAUGCUUCGAAUCUUGGGCACGAGUGGCAACGUUUGAAGGGAGGAUCGUGCGAGAGAGAGUUUAUUUUUAUCAGGAUACGAAUAUAUUAUAUAUUUGAGAGCGAAAUUCACGAGAGUGGUUAUUUUUUCGCAAAGCGGGAACUUCGAGCAAGCAGUUCUCACUACUCGGGGAGAUAAAUAAAACUCUCGAGAGAGUAAAAGAGUGAAAGAUUGAUUUAUUAAAGAUUAUAGUUUCCGUAAUUCCGCGUUUUCUUUCGGAGUCAUCUUUUAAAGAAAACGAUUCGAGAACAUAGAAUCGAUAAGCAUCGUUCGCGAUGGGUGUUUGUGUCGUGAGAAAAGUUUCCAGAUAUCGGAUCGGGUCGGAAACGAAGACGGACGGGAGAUAUCGUUGAGUGAAAUACGUCAGCAGACAUAAUAAACCGAAACUUGGGAGGAAUUUGAAGAAGAAACGCAAGAUCUUAAAAUAGGGGGUCGUUAAUAAUAGGGUAUCCCUGACGAAAGCAUAGAUCCAUUUUUAGGAUUCGCUCCUGGGAAUGUACAAAUAGAAAACGUCUGAAUGAUGAAAGUUUCCACGAGUUUGCCUCGUCACGGUGGUUCGCGAAGGUGUCCCUCGUGCAGCGCCUCAAAAUUAUUUUUAUAUCUACAGAAUUAUCGCGGAUCUUAUUCCGGAUUCAAGACGAAGAAGAAGAAGAAGAAGAAGAAGGAAGAGGAGAAGAAGAAGGAGGAGGAGAAGAAGAAGAAGGAGACUGGCCGAAAUCGCUAGCCGGCCUCCAUUGAAACAACAAACGAAAGGGUGAAUUAUCGUCGCGUCGACGGAAGAAAACAGGCCGAGGGAAAUUCUCGACGGAUCCCGUUGGCCUUCCCUAUCCGUAUUCACGUCCGAUUGUUCGCCGAGUUAUAAACGCAGCCCGCAGCGGAGGCCGUUUGAUCGAUGGCAGCCAAAAGCCAGUCGCGGCGUGGUGUGGUGGCAUGGAGCAGGGGGAGAGAGGGGCGAAUACGGAGUAGCGGAGAGCACGAGCGAAACGGAGAGAGAGAGAGAGAGAGAGAGAGAGCAGGGAUGAGAUGGAAAGAGAGGAGCGAGAGGGAAAUGGAGAAACGUGGAGCACGGAACACAGAAGGUAGAUGGUUGGGCGGUCGGAGGUGGUCAGGAAUCACGGAGUGAUGUCAGCUCGUGACUCGUGACACGCGCUGGUUUAAUUAGCGCUACAAUGCCGAAUCCAGUGUGUGCAUGUGCGGAGCAGAAGGUGGAAACGCGGCGAGAGAAAGAGGAGGCGGCCGGAGGGAGAGGAAUGGAAGGAGGAAUCGGACGAUGGAGGAUGCAAACCGCACCACCCCGUGUGCCCUGUACCAGGCCACGAUUCUCUCUUCUCUUUCUGGCACUCUGCCUGCCCGACCUACGACCCGCCCCCGGGACCCCGGGACCACGUUCUCCGAAUUACCGGUCCCGUCGCUGCAACAGCGGUGCACUUAGCGUAAAUUCAGGGCGAAUCGACGGCGCUUGACGUCCCCUUUCCCAGACCCCUCAAUUUCCUCCCCUCCCUCUCCCCCGCCACCUAUGUACCGCCGGAUCGCGUCUAUAUCUCGUUUAUAUACCGAUCGUCGAGACGCUUUCCUCUUGCUCUUGCUCCGGAAUUAAUGUCACGUGGAAACGGAGCCGGAGAAUUUGCGACAGACGCGAGAGUGUAGCCUCGAUACUUUUAGAACGGAACGCUCUUAUGCCAGCUUAUUCUCAGGAAUGAUUCUCUUCUAGUUGGAGGCUUGUUGUUGAUCGAUUUCUUUGAUCGUUCGAAAUUGCGAUGUUUGGCAGAAGAGAAGGGGGAAAGGGAACGUUUUUUCUUUGAAAUUCUUGAAAUUGAUUUUGCUUAUUUUUCGAGACGUUUUUUUUUAGAUGUUGAACAUUUUUUUAUCGUGAUAUAUAUAAUAUAAUCCGAGCGACGAGAAGUGGUUUCGAGUGCAAAAACUAAUUCGUGAUAGUCGAGAAUGAUACCAAGGAUCCUUUCCUUAAGCGUAUGGAAGCUUGAAAGCUGACGUGCUAGCACGUAUGCGAAGCAUAUGUCCUCGGCCAGCGCGACACACGGCCGAGAUAGGAGAGAUUUAAAAUGUUGCGGCAGGUCGGGAGGACUAAAUGAUGAUAAACUAUCUCGCCGGUCCCGGUAGACUGACCCUGCAUGCCGCGGCUUGAAUUACAGCCAAAAAACAAAACCACUCGUCGCUCGACGCGCGCAGAGAACAAGUAAAACACAUCAGCGUUGCCCUGACCAAGACGUAAAACCCUGAAUCACUGGAUUUUCCAGUUGAGAAAAUUAUAAAGAUUCGAUCGAAUAAUAAGAAAAAAUUUAUAUACGAAAUUUUGAUAUAAAAAUAGCAAAAAUCUAAUAUUAAAAUUAAGAAAAAAAGUUGAAAGUUAAGGAAAAAAUGGAAUACUAUCGUACAACGAAUAAAAAUAAAGUGUACGUAUACGUUAUGCAACGAUCGAAGAACAAAAAUAAAAUUGCGAAUAAACCGCGCACUACGUCGAAUGCGUUAUAAUUUCAAUGAAUUUUCCAUAUUGACGAUCAAGCAUUACGCUCCUUGCAAUUUACCGGUAUCUUCGAUCUCGACUAACGAUCGUUCGAAAUAAUGCACAGAAAAGCUCCAUUUACAAUUGACUCGACUUAUCAGCGGCCUCCUCGGUACGCGGUCAAUCCGUCGGCAUAAAACUUAUAGCCACGCGAUUAUGGUCGUUAUAUACAUACUACUUUUCUCUCUAUGCCUGCUUGAAUUUGCCCGCCUUCCUAUUCUCUGUCCUUUCCCCUCUUUGUUCGCUCCCACCCUCAGACCGUAGCCCUCUUUCUAUCGGAUUAUUAAUUCCCUCGUUAAAAUCCGACCCGCGGCGUCGCCACGGUUUGUUAUUUACGAACGAAAAUUGUAAAUACAAAGCAGAAGGGGAAAGAGAGGAAGGAGAGAAAGGGCAGGCGUAUCGACGCACGACCAUUCCCGCGGCCGCGAGCAAUUAAUAAUCGCAUCGAAGCUAAUUAAAUCCGGAAAACAUGCAAAUGCACUGUGUUUAUAUUUCAAAGGGACGACCGAUCGGCCGUGCGGUGGCGCAGCAAUGACGAAGAGCCGAAUAAUGGCGGAAAAGGAUAAGCGAAAGAUAGUGGGAAAGCCGAGAGGAUUCGUUUACGAAUUAUCCAUAAAAAUAUCCGUAAAACAUGUUUAUGCUCUAUUAUUCCGUUUUUACGAGCUCAUCGAGCUUCGAUAUUAAUUCAAUCGACAAAUGAAUGCUACGAAUAUAUUGUAAUUUUAUCAAAAAGUUUUCACUUUCUACGUUCUACGUACGUAAAUGAUGUAAGAGUACUUACAUUUCGUCGCGUCGCCACAGAUAACUAAUCUGUAAGUGUUGUCUGGACACAACCGUCUAUCUAACUGUUAACGAUUCUUUCAGGAUUAUCAAUCAAUUAACACAAGACGAUGAACGACACUGCACAAUUCUUUUUUCAAACAAUUAACGAAUUUUUCACACCGCUGCACGUAAUACGACUGAUGCCCGCCUUGCCUGUGCUGCCAACUAUCGAACGAUACGGUAACCAUACACUGAUCCAGACAAUGCGCCGCGUAUCGGCGACUUCUCGAACUAAUGGGAUUCAGUGGCGUUAUUUCUCGCUUGUAACGAUUAUACAUCGAUAUAUGGCACAAGAAAGUUACAAAAAAAAAAUAGAUGAUUCUUUUAUUUCACGUUAUUAUUUCAUGGAAAGCGAGUCGAUUAUAUCUCGAGAAAUCGAAUAACUAUUGCCUGUGUAUUAUAUCGAUUCAUAUCGAUAUUACGGAAACUCGUGUGAGUGGAAAAGAAAUAGAAAAGUUGGUUAUAAACGUAAUAAAAGUUCGAAAACGUAAUAAAAAAAUAACAUCAGAGAAAUAUUUGUUUAAAAUAUUUGUGUAAAACGGAAAAAGAAAUUCUUUAACGACGAUAAAUAUACCGAUGAAUAUUUACUAAUGAACGAAACGAUUCUAAACGAAACUCGAUAAACAUUCAGCGAAAAGUUGUUCCGAUAUUAUCAAAACAAGAAACGGAACACGAUUUACAUUCAGGUAUUCACGAAUGAGUUAAAAAUAAGUGAAAGAAGUAUGAUAAACUUUUCCAACCAAUCAUCCUCAAGUUCAUCUCUUACAAGAAAGUUCACUUUUCUUCAUCAUUCCUUUACUUCAAAUUUGGCGAAUUCUUAUCAAGCGUACAACGGACCAUAAAUAAUCUUAAUGUUAUGGAAGAGAUAUUACGAAAAAAGGAGCUAGCCUUUCAAGAGGACGGCGGUUGAGACGUCAAAGGGAGUGCCAUUGAAGGUAUAGCAGCCAUAAAAAGUAUAUAUCGAGACGGAUGCAUAAGGUGCAUGCACGGUGCGCGAGGUAUUACACACGAAGUGCACCGUGUAUUGGCAG